rnacentral:misc_RNA from 1 species
GUGACACUUACAGAAGCCGYUGUGGCCCCUCACAGGGUAUCCUCACGACUAUAAAUAAAAGAUGGUUAGCACAAGUAAUCGAACAGAUUGCAACAUAAUCGAAAUGCGGGGAUCUCCUAAAGCCAUUCCAGUACUAACUUCAGGGUAGAAAUAUCCUAAGGGCCUCUGUUAACAGCAUAGGGKAUAGKAACAAUCUCGAUGGAUUUUGCRAUGGACAAUCCGCAACGAAACCUCUAACGGCAAAAAGCUUAUGAGGUGCGUUCACAGACUAAGUGGUUAUGGGCGUUUGGCUGAUAAGUCAAAGGCUUAAGAUAUAGUCGGGCCUUGGUGGAAACAUCAAGGAGUAAGUCACUGUAUGAAUUACUGGCMAGUGGAAGGCAACUUCUAACUGUCAUUUACCGUUCCGUAGGUGAACCUGCGGAAGGAUCAUUACAGAGUUCGUGCCCGAAAGGGUAGACCUCCCACCCUUGUGUAUUAUUACUUUGUUGCUUUGGCAGGCUGCCUUUGCGUCUGCCAGAGGUUUAUCAAACUCUUUUUAUUAAUGUCGUCUGAGUACUAUAUAAUAGUUAAAACUUUCAACAACGGAUCUCUUGGUUCUGGCAUCGAUGAAGAACGCAACGAAAUGCGAUAAGUAAUGUGAAUUGCAGAAUUCAGUGAAUCAUCGAAUCUUUGAACGCACAUUGCGCCCCUUGGUAUUCCGGGGGGCAUGCCUGUUCGAGCGUCAUUUCAACCCUCAAGCACAGCUUGGUAUUGAGCCCAUGUCAGCGAUGGCAGGCUAUAAAUCAGUGGCGGCGCCGUUGGGUCCUGAACGUAGUAAUAUCUUUCGUUAAGGAUCUCAGCGUGCUUCUGC